rnacentral:rRNA from 1 species
AUUGAACGCUGGCGGCAGGCCUAACACAUGCAAGUCGAGCGGAUGAAGGGUGCUUGCUCCUGGAUUCAGCGGCGGACGGGUGAGUAAUGCCUAGGAAUCUGCCUGGUAGUGGGGGAUAACGUCCGGAAACGGGCGCUAAUACCGCAUACGUCCUGAGGGAGAAAGUGGGGGAUCUUCGGACCUCACGCUAUCAGAUGAGCCUAGGUCGGAUUAGCUAGUUGGUAGGGUAAAGGCCUACCAAGGCGACGAUCCGUAACUGGUCUGAGAGGAUGAUCAGUCACACUGGAACUGAGACACGGUCCAGACUCCUACGGGAGGCAGCAGUGGGGAAUAUUGGACAAUGGGCGAAAGCCUGAUCCAGCCAUGCCGCGUGUGUGAAGAAGGUCUUCGGAUUGUAAAGCACUUUAAGUUGGGAGGAAGGGAAGUAAGUUAAUACCUUGCUGUUUUGACGUUACCAACAGAAUAAGCACCGGCUAACUUCGUG